rnacentral:lncRNA from 1 species
GGUAGGUAUUCGGUAGUCGGUCAGGAGUUAACUAGGAAUUGCACCUUGAAACUGACAGUGGAAUUAUCGAUGAAUGAGAUAUUGUCACUGGAGAAGAUACACACAGUUAAAGUCAAGACGAAGGGUGAUGAUGGAUAUUAGAGUGAAGUGGUGCUGGUUCCGCUUGAUGUCGAGAAAGAAAGACCUGCAAAACAAGUUUUGCAGAAGGUGGCUCUGGCGAAGAUUCUUCGAUGUUCAAGUUAAUGAAUGGCUUAAGAAAAAAA